rnacentral:rRNA from 1 species
UACGUAGGGGGCAAGCGUUAUCCGGAUUUACUGGGUGUGAAGGGGGCGCAGACGGAGAUGCAAGCCAGGAGUGAAAGCCCGGGGCCCAACCCCGGGACUGCUCUUGGAACUGCGUGGCUGGAGUGCAGGAGGGGCAGGCGGAAUUCCUGGUGUAGCGGUGAAAUGCGUAGAUAUCAGGAGGAACACCGGUGGCGAAGGCGGCCUGCUGGACUGCAACUGACGUUGCGGCCCGAAAGCGUGGGGAGCAAACAGG